rnacentral:rRNA from 1 species
UACGUAGGGUGCGAGCUUUAAUCGGAAUUACUGGGCGUAAAGCGUGCGCAGGCUGUUUUGUAAGUCAGAUUUGAAAUCCCCGAGCUCAACUUGGGAACUGCGUUUGAAACUACAAGACUAGAAUAUGUCAGAGGGGGGUAGAAUUCCACGUGUAGCAGUGAAAUGCGUAGAGAUGUGGAGGAAUAUCAAUGGCGAAGGCAGCCCCCUGGGAUAAUAUUGACGCUCAUGCACGAAAGCGUGGGGAGCAAACAGG